UACGUAUGGGGCAAGCGUUAUCCGGAUUCAUUGGGCGUAAAGCGCGCGUAGGCGGAUCGUUAAGUCAGAUGUGAAAUCCGGGGGCUCAACCCGCGGCCUGCAUCUGAAACUGGCGGUCUUGAGUCUGGUAGAGGAAAGUGGAAUUCCCAGUGUAGCGGUGAAAUGCGCAGAUAUUGGGAGGAACACCAGUGGCGAAGGCGGCUUUCUGGGCCACGACUGACGCUGAGGCGCGAAAGCUAGGGGAG
rnacentral:rRNA from 1 species